CCCUUAGAUGUCCUGGGCCGCACGCGCGUUACACUGAUGCAUUCAACGAGCUUAUAACCUUGGCCGAGAGGCCUGGGCAAUCUUGUUAACGUGCACCGUGAUGGGGAUAGAUUAUUGAAAUUAUUAAUCUUGAACGAGGAAUUCCUAGUAAACGCAGAUCAUCAAUCUGCAUUGAUUACGUCCCUGCCCUUUGUACACACCGCCCGUCGCACCUACCGAUUGGAUGGUCCGGUGAAGCCUCGGGAUUGUGGUUCUUGCCGCUUUAUUGUGGCGUGACCGCGAGAACUUGUCUAAACCUUAUCAUCUAGAGGAAGGUGAAGUCGUAACA
rnacentral:rRNA from 1 species